rnacentral:rRNA from 1 species
UUUUUAAAGUAUCAAUUGGAGGGCAAGUCUGGUGCCAGCAGCCGCGGUAAUUCCAGCUCCAAUAGCGUAUAUUAAAAUUGUUGCAGUUAAAAAGCUCGUAGUUGAAGUUCUGCUAAAAGUAACCGGUCUGCUUUUAAUAAAAGUGGUAUCUUGGUGUGUAUUUAGCAAUGAUGUCCUUUGAAGUGUUUUUUACUUUAUUGUAAUAAAGCAUAUUCAGGACUUUUACUUUGAGAAAAUUAGAGUGUUUCUAGCAGGCCGACGCUUUGAAUAC